GGCUGGUGGCUCAGUGGUAGAGCGCUUGCCUAGCAUGUGUGAGGCCCUGGGUUUGAUUCUCAGCACCA
rnacentral:tRNA from 1 species